GCGAGCAUGGCCGAGUGGUUUAGGCAACAGUCCUAGGAACUGUGACGAAAGUCAACGCAGGUUCGAAUCCUGCUGCUCGCA
rnacentral:tRNA from 1 species